rnacentral:tRNA from 1 species
GGAGAAGUGGCCGAGUGGUCGAAGGCGGUUGACUCGAAAUCAACUGAGGGGUUCUGCUCCUCCGUGAGUUCAAAUCUCACCUUCUCCGCCA